AUUGUAUGUGGGGAAAUCUUUUGGGCGGUACUAUUUGUAUACGGGGAACCAUUGGUUCCCAAAGUUGGGUCUGUGAAAAGCAGGUCCAUGGUGUUCCAAUUUUGUUACAGUCCUGGAAACCCACCUUUCUCCAAGUGAUUGGAAUCAAACGACAAUUUUAAUAACAAAAGGGUUCCAUUUGUGUAAAGUUCCGAAAUAAAAACAAACAAACAAAACAAACAAAAAAACAACUCUAACCAAAUUAUUAUUGUAUCGUCAGUACUCUGGGGGCACAUGAAAUUUAAAUUUAUUAUUAUUAUUAUUAUCGUUAUUAUUAUUUACAGUUAAAUGCAUCCCUGAAUAUAAAAGUUUGCGAACCCCUGCCAUAAAUAGCACAAACCCUUUCACAAACCCAAGGUCACUUUACAGAGCAAUCAAAGGAAUAAAAAACAAACAGUAAAACCAUAAAAAAAUUUCUUUAGAAAUAUGCAGUGAAGUCGUCCUUCAAAAUGAGGACCAUCAUUUAAAAAAGAUUAUCCAUCCAUCCAUCCAUCCAUGUAGCUUAUCCUACUCAGGGUCUCAGGGAGCCUAUCCCAGAGGACUCGAAGCACGAGGCGGGGGACAUCCUGGAUGGGGUGCCAACCCAUCACAGGGCACAUACUCACACCCCCAUUCACACACUAGGGACAAUUUGGAAAUACCAAUCAACCUACAAAGCAUGUCUUUGGACUGGGGGGAGGAAACUGGAGGAAACCCCUGAAACACGGGGAGAACAUGCAAACUCCACGUAACACGCGGUAGAAGCGGGAAUCGAAGCAAAGUAAGGAUAUUCAAAGCAGAUAUUUUGCAGUAACAGGUCUUUUUCUUUUCAAUUUCAAUCUAAUACGAUGAACCAAAACAACAAUGCGUCACUGUCUAAAUGACUUCUGGACUGCAUUGCAUAUAUCACAUAGAUCAAGCCUCGUGGCUCGAUUCAUUUAACAGAUAUAACCACACUGUUGCUAUAGCGAAACAAAAAUGAAUUUGGUGAUCUGUUAAUAAACUCUUACUGAAUACAAGAAGCUAAGAUAUAUUUAUUAUUUUUUUUAAAUAAUACUGCCGAUAAAAUUGUUCACAAACAAUUAAUGGCAUUACGUUCACCAGGAUUUUGGUACCAAAAGUAGUGUGGCGCAGAGCCCAAGUGCUUUAAUGUCCAGGCUGCAUAAAGCAGGUUUAUAACACUUAAACGGAAUGAAACCGUUCACUUCAAGUGACAUAAAACAGUGAAU
ensembl:lncRNA